ACUUUACCUUCUUGAGCUUCUCUGACAAACUCUGAACACAUUCAAACUGUCUCACAGAGACGGUCACUGCACCUGUCCAGGUGUGAACAGCAAGACCUUUACUCACCUGGUUUGCAAACGGACCCCCAAUGUCCGACGAUUCUGAGUCCAGAAACUGAAAAACAGAUUCGUUCAUGCAGGAUACAAUCUGCUUAUCAUUUAAUGCACAGUCACGUGUAACCUUUGACCUAAAGAAAUAAAGCGUGGUCUAACAGACUAUGAAAACAUCCAAUAAGGUUUAAAGAAAAUCCAAAAAUGAAGCCUAAUAAAAUCAAACUGUUGGAUUAUUUAAAUUUUCUGUGAGUCUGACAUUUCACAUAAUUCCUCUCUUUUAAUGUUACCAAUAGAAAACCACAUUUGAGUAACCCCUUCGUCGUGGUCUUCAUUGGAGUUCACUUACACUGUUGCUCUGGAAGGGGUUGUAGGAAGCCUUCAGCAGCAUGUUCUGCAGUUUCACAACACUCUAAGGAGAAAAACAGAAACUGGUAUUGAAAAGCAAGCUAGUUCUGUCUUUGAUCAUUAAGAGAAAUUAUGACUAAUUUGGUUGGAGUACUUUAAGCCAAAGUCAACCGCCUAAAGGAUUUCCUUAUUAUUGUCAGAAGUAAACCUGAUUAUUUGAAUUCCGGUUGUCUGAAUCAUGAUUCAUUUUAGUGCCAAUAAAUCAACAUAUUUGAAUUUUAUUUAAUCUUUUUAGUUUAAAUGAAAAUGAAAGCUGGUUAGGAACUUCAAAAUGAUCUCACACAAAUGGUUGAAUAUUUUUGGAUGAAUAAAACCCCUAAAUGGGCAUAUUAAUUGAAUUGGGUUCAGUUAGAGAUGAGAUUGUUUGCACACACUCACAGGUCUCCUUUCUGUGGAUUCCACGUCUGCUCUUCCAUCCACGUCUCCCUCAGCCGCCUCUCCCUUCAUCUUGCACCAGAUUACAGAAGAUCAAUUCACUUUAGUGGGAAUAAUCCAGAUUAUUGGUCAGACUGUGCGCGCUCGGGAGGUGCACACCUUUCUGAUGAACCACCUGUGGCUCUCACCUGUGUCAAGGUGCACACGCC
rnacentral:lncRNA from 1 species